CUAUUACUGAAAUAGCCAUCAACGUUCAGUGAAGUAGCUAUCCACCUCAAAAAUACAGGUUAUCAAACAAAAAUCCAUUUCCAAGUAUUUCAAACAUGGGAUUUUCUCAUCUUCAAAUUCAAAGGGAUACAUGCCUAGGAGCCUUAUUAUCAUUUGAGGAGGUAUUAAAGGACAGAAAUCAUGAAGAGAUAGCACAAUAGCAUAUCUGUUUGAAAAGUACAAACCUUCUUAUAUAUAUAUUUUUUUUCUCAUGAGUCAAAUAUCAAAAUAAUUUCACUUCAGGCACAUUCCCAUCAGUUUUCAUCAGCAUUCUCACAGGACUUUUAUUGGCACAAAUGAUCACAGGAAGCAAACUUCACGUUGAAAGCUCUUCUACCAACCUGCAAAGAAUAAGUUCAUUAGGAAGCAUUAAUUGGGUGAAGGCAUUAUCUCCUCUGAGAGGUCUUUCUCUUGUUAGCACUUCAUAACGUUCAAUCUAUUCAAGCUGAUUCCAGAGUGCACCUUUCCACCAUCGCUCUGAACAGACGAAACACCUCACUCCUGUAUCAACUACUUUUAUUUCCAUUGUAAAGAAAUGACUGCCCUUUGCUCAAAGGAAGACAGGUGCCACAGCAGAGGACAGAAAAUGAGAAAUUAAAGGAGAAUUGGGGGCUGAACAACACAUUUCCUGCAUUUUGGGACAGCUGUUCUUUUCGCUAAAACCAGCAGCCUCAGAUAAUGCUGUGGAGGAGGACUGGUCCACAACACCCUCUGGACGGCCAUGCUGCAGCCCCAGUUUGGCACGUGGCAGUGACCACGCACUCACUGGACCAUAGAUGUCUUAUGAGACCUCACCAGA
ensembl:lncRNA